rnacentral:lncRNA from 1 species
UGCAAAGCACGCCAGGAUCCCAGCCAGCCCAGGACGGGGAGGGCCUGGGAGAGAUUCUCACUGCCUGGGGAUACAAAGCCUGCAUCCCAGCCAGCCGAGGAGGGGGAGGACCUUGGGAGAGCUUCCACUGCUGCAGGGAAGCCGGGCUAGUGACUGGGGCCGCAUCCACAGGUGUCUGGGGGCUGCGCCACACAGAGCAUGGAGGUGAUGCUUUCCUGUAACACUGCACGUUUUGCCUGGCAUUCUGCAGAAGCAUUGCUGUAUCUUACCAGACAGGAAUACAGGUCUGCUGUGUGCCAAAAUAUUUUACCAUGCCCUAAAAGUGAGAUGUUGGAAGUGGACAAGGAGGAAAUAUUUAUGAAUAUUUGAGUCUGUUAUUCUUUAUGUUAAGCAUUUUGGCUUCUGUUGUACUCCUAAAUCACUACUGAGAGCAGAGAAAGAGCUCUUUGUAGAAAUGAGAUGUGUUCCUGUGUGCUGCCUGUGACGCAUCCCGUUGUCACCGGAGUGCCGUGGCCCUAAGGAAUGACAGCAUUAAGGCAUGGACGUUAAAGAUGGACAAAAGAAUUGUUCACGGUGUUGUAUUUUAAAAUGACUAUGUGUAUGACAAUUAAACUAUUGUGUCUUCGUUUACUCCAUGUGUUCUGCCUGACAGCUGGG